AUGUCCUCCCACCAUCCCCACGCAGCCACAGAGGCCAGGCCACAGGGGUCAGGCUGCGGGGCUCAGGUUGCAGGGGUCAGGCCUAGGGCUCAGGUCACAGGGCUCAGGCAGCAGGGGUCAGGCCCAGGGCUCAGGUCACAGGGCUCAGGCAGCAGGGGUCAGGCUGCAGGGCUCAGGCCGCAGGGGUCAGGCUGCAGGGGUCGGGCCCAGGGCUCAGGCCGCGGGGCUCAGGCCACAGGGGUCAGGCCGCAGGGGUCAAGCCCAGGGGUCAGGCUGCAGGACUCAGGCUGCAGGGGUCAGGCCCAGGGCUCAGGCCACAGGGGUCAGGCUGCAGGACUCAAGCCGCAGGGGUCAGGCCCAGGGCUCAGGCCGCAGGGCUCAGGCAGCAAGGGUCAGGCCGCAGGGGUCAGGCCCAGGGGUCAGGCCGCAGGGGUCAGGCCCAGGGCUCAGGCCGCGGGGGUCAGGCUGCAGGACUCAGGCCGCAGGGGUCAGGCCCAGGGCUCAGGCAGCAAGGGUCAGGCCGCAGGGGUCAGGCCACAGGGGUCAGGCCCAGGGCUCAGGCCGUGGGGGUCAGGCCCAGGGCUCAGGCCACAGGGCUCAGGCAGCAGGGGCCAGGCUGCAGGGGUCAGGCCCAGGGCUCAGGCCACAGGGGUCAGGCCGUGGGGCUCAGGUCACGGGGGUCAGUUCCAGGGGUCAGGCUGCAGGGCUCAGGCCCAGGGGUCAGGCCCAGGGCUCAGGCCACAAGGCUCAGGCAGCAGGGGUCAGGCUGCAGGGGUCAGGCCCAGGGCUCAGGCCGCGGGGGUCAGGCCGCGGGGCUCGGGUCACGGGGGUCAGUUCCAGGGGUCAGGCUGCAGGGGUCAGGCCCAGGGCUCAGGCCGCAGGCGGCGGGCAGACAGGGCACAUGGCCCAGCCGCCCCGGGACCCCCUGAACUGAACGAGGCCAGGUCUCCAGAUGCGCCCAGCGGUCCCGGAAAGGGGCUAAGCUGCAGCUGCUGGCUCGGCCGCCAGCAGGUCCCGGACGGACAUUCGGGGUCCCGGAUCGCGGCCGUGAGCAGGGCCCCGGGGCACCGGGCCGGCGCUCCCCCCCCCGCCCCCCGCCCCUCGCGUCUAGGUCGGGGACAGCGCAGCGGGCCAGGAGCGCGCGCGGCUGCCGAGCUGCGGCGGCGCGGCGGACACACGGACGGAGGGACGGAGGGACGCGGCGCGGGCCCUCGCACAGGUGGUCGUCCGCGCGGCCCGCCCCCCGCCCCCGCCCCCGCCCCCGCCCCGCCCCGCAGCGCCCCGGCCUCCCGCCCGCCCGGCUUCCGGCGCCGCAGUUGCCCGGCGACGCGCGCCCCCACCCCCGCCGCCGCCCCCCGCCCCCGCCGCCGCCGCCGCCGCCAACUUUCCUCCCGAGUUUCCCGGGGGCCGCGGGCCGCGGGCGGGCGGGCGGGGGUCGGGCCGAGGGAGCGGAGGGGCUCGGGGGCCGGGCCGGCGGGCGGGCGCUGCGCCCGGGGCCCGGCUCCCCUCCCCCACGCCCGGCCCCGCCCGGCCCCGCCGCCCCCGCCCGCCGCCCCCCGCCGACGCGGGGCCGGGUCCCGGGCCGCUCACCUGGACCGCGGUCCCUCCGGUGCCGGCCGAGCCUCGCCGCCCACCCCGCCCCCGCCCCGCAGGCCCGCGACCCGCUGA
rnacentral:lncRNA from 1 species